rnacentral:rRNA from 1 species
GGGACACGUGGUAUCCUGUCUGAAUAUGGGGGGACCAUCCUCCAAGGCUAAAUACUCCUGACUGACCGAUAGUGAACCAGUACCGUGAGGGAAAGGCGAAAAGAACCCCGGCGAGGGGAGUGAAAAAGAACCUGAAACCGUGUACGUACAAGCAGUGGGAGCACGCUUAGGCGUGUGACUGCGUACCUUUUGUAUAAUGGGUCAGCGACUUAUAUUCUGUAGCAAGGUUAACCGAAUAGGGGAGCCGAAGGGAAACCGAGUCUUAACUGGGCGUUAAGUUGCAGGGUAUAGACCCGAAACCCGGUGAUCUAGCCAUGGGCAGGUUGAAGGUUGGGUAACACUAACUGGAGGACCGAACCGACUAAUGUUGAAAAAUUAGCGGAUGACUUGUGGCUGGGGGUGAAAGGCCAAUCAAACCGGGAGAUAGCUGGUUCUCCCCGAAAGCUAUUUAGGUAGCGCCUCGUGAAUUCAUCUCCGGGGGUAGAGCACUGUUUCGGCAAGGGGGUCAUCCCGACUUACCAACCCGAUGCAAACUGCGAAUACCGGAGAAUGUUAUCACGGGAGACACACGGCGGGUGCUAACGUCCGUCGUGAAGAGGGAAACAACCCAGACCGCCAGCUAAGGUCCCAAAGUCAUGGUUAAGUGGGAAACGAUGUGGGAAGGCCCAGACAGCCAGGAUGUUGGCUUAGAAGCAGCCAUCAUUUAAAGAAAGCGUAAUAGCUCACUGGUCGAGUCGGCCUGCGCGGAAGAUGUAACGGGGCUAAACCAUGCACCGAAGCUGCGGCAGCGACACUAUGUGUUGUUGGGUAGGGGAGCGUUCUGUAAGCCUGUGAAGGUGUGCUGUGAGGCAUGCUGGAGGUAUCAGAAGUGCGAAUGCUGACAUAAGUAACGAUAAAGCGGGUGAAAAGCCCGCUCGCCGGAAGACCAAGGGUUCCUGUCCAACGUUAAUCGGGGCAGGGUGAGUCGACCCCUAAGGCGAGGCCGAAAGGCGUAGUCGAUGGGAAACAGGUUAAUAUUCCUGUACUUGGUGUUACUGCGAAGGGGGGACGGAGAAGGCUAUGUUGGCCGGGCGACGGUUGUCCCGGUUUAAGCGUGUAGGCUGGUUUUCCAGGCAAAUCCGGAAAAUCAAGGCUGAGGCGUGAUGACGAGGCACUACGGUGCUGAAGCAACAAAUGCCCUGCUUCCAGGAAAAGCCUCUAAGCAUCAGGUAACAUCAAAUCGUACCCCAAACCGACACAGGUGGUCAGGUAGAGAAUACCAAGGCGCUUGAGAGAACUCGGGUGAAGGAACUAGGCAAAAUGGUGCCGUAACUUCGGGAGAAGGCACGCUGAUAUGUAGGUGAAGUCCCUCGCGGAUGGAGCUGAAAUCAGUCGAAGAUACCAGCUGGCUGCAACUGUUUAUUAAAAACACAGCACUGUGCAAACACGAAAGUGGACGUAUACGGUGUGACGCCUGCCCGGUGCCGGAAGGUUAAUUGAUGGGGUUAGCGCAAGCGAAGCUCUUGAUCGAAGCCCCGGUAAACGGCGGCCGUAACUAUAACGGUCCUAAGGUAGCGAAAUUCCUUGUCGGGUAAGUUCCGACCUGCACGAAUGGCGUAAUGAUGGCCAGGCUGUCUCCACCCGAGACUCAGUGAAAUUGAACUCGCUGUGAAGAUGCAGUGUACCCGCGGCAAGACGGAAAGACCCCGUGAACCUUUACUAUAGCUUGACACUGAACAUUGAGCCUUGAUGUGUAGGAUAGGUGGGAGGCUUUGAAGUGUGGACGCCAGUCUGCAUGGAGCCGACCUUGAAAUACCACCCUUUAAUGUUUGAUGUUCUAACGUUGACCCGUAAUCCGGGUUGCGGACAGUGUCUGGUGGGUAGUUUGACUGGGGCGGUCUCCUCCUAAAGAGUAACGGAGGAGCACGAAGGUUGGCUAAUCCUGGUCGGACAUCAGGAGGUUAGUGCAAUGGCAUAAGCCAGCUUGACUGCGAGCGUGACGGCGCGAGCAGGUGCGAAAGCAGGUCAUAGUGAUCCGGUGGUUCUGAAUGGAAGGGCCAUCGCUCAACGGAUAAAAGGUACUCCGGGGAUAACAGGCUGAUACCGCCCAAGAGUUCAUAUCGACGGCGGUGUUUGGCACCUCGAUGUCGGCUCAUCACAUCCUGGGGCUGAAGUAGGUCCCAAGGGUAUGGCUGUUCGCCAUUUAAAGUGGUACGCGAGCUGGGUUUAGAACGUCGUGAGACAGUUCGGUCCCUAUCUGCCGUGGGCGCUGGAGAACUGAGGGGGGCUGCUCCUAGUACGAGAGGACCGGAGUGGACGCAUCACUGGUGUUCGGGUUGUCAUGCCAAUGGCACUGCCCGGUAGCUAAAUGCGGAAGAGAUAAGUGCUGAAAGCAUCUAAGCACGAAACUUGCC